UCCGUAGGUGAAGAACGUACUCAGCGUGACGAGCUCACCAGUGCCAAUCGUGUUUCCCGUCAGGUGGAACUGCGCCGGGCCGUUGAAUUCGAAGUACUUGUCGAGCUCCCCAAGAAACGUCUGCUCGACGUCGACGCCGAACGAGUAGGGCUGCGGGAUCGGGACAAAGCCCGCCAACACCAGGUUUUGCGGAGCAAACACCUGCACCCGCAGCACGCCAGUAAUCUCGAUGCUGAUGCUGUAGAGCGUGCCGAGCGCCGGGUCGAACGGCGUCACCCCAAACGACCCGAACAUGCCGCUCGGCCCGGCCGAGAAGGUCUCGGCAACGACGAACGGAAGGGCUGCGGCCGGCCGCGUUGCCGCAGCGAACGCGGCCAGACAAAAGAACGAGAUGACGCAGAGUCGUCGCACUUGAACACCUCGUUGCAUGGGACCGGCAAGUGCAAGAGUCCUGCCGAGUGUGCGCACUCCUUUCGCCGAACACUCCGUAAUCGUCGACCGUGUAAGUCAACUUCGGUUGCGACUUCGAUCUGCUCUGGAGGAGUUUUCACUCACCGCCUGGGCCGUUCUCCCACCGAGCAAGUCGGACACCAGGAACAGCUGCGCGACUUCGACGAGUGCUCAAUCGUUGGCCCGCCGGCGUGCAUAAUGUCAGUCUCAUCCUGAUCAGGAGGCGAACAUGCGGACCAUCAGGGCUCGAAGGCCUCUUGCGUUCGUGGCCGUCCUUGGGGUGAGCGGAGCCGUGUCCGCCUUUCCGGUCACGGUUGGGGUCUUCCCAACCGCCACGGCCGAGCAGGAACGGCGCGCCCAUCUCGAGUGGAUGCUCGCGUCGCUGCCCAAUGCGGCCCAAUUCAACGAAUGGCAGCAACGGACCGGCGAGCUCCCACCCGAUUUCGACGCGUUCCCGCGCAACAACUUCCUGCCGGAUCCGUUCACGUUCAUGAACGGCCGGGCCGUCCGGAACGCCUCGGACUGGACCGCGCGUCGCACCGAGAUCAGACAGCUCCUGGAGAAGUGGGACAUCGGCAGCGUGCCGUCAAAGGCGACGACGUUCAAGACGACGGUGCAGAGCGAAACCCCGGGCAGCGGCUACAUCACGCGCGUGGUGGCGAUCGAGUACGGUCCACGCGCCGACACAACGACGACGGUGAACGUGACGCUCACGAUCCCUCGGGGCAAUGGGCCCUUCCCGGUGAUGAUCGGCGGCGCGGCGUCGUCGCUCGUCCGCCGCGGCUACAUCGCGUGCAGCUACUCCGGCUCGGUGGAUGCGCCCGGCACCGUCGCCCAGUUGUAUCCCGAGCACGACUUUGCCUCGAUGGCGCAGGUCGCGUUCACGAUCCAGACCGUCGUCGACCACCUGCUGACCGUGCCGCAGGUCGACAAGGCCCGCAUCGCCAUCACCGGCUACUCGCGUGCGGGCAAGAUGGCCCUCAUCGCGGCCGCGCUCGAUGAGCGCAUCGCGGCGGUGGUCGCGGGCAGCACCGGGGUCGGCGGCGUCACGCCCUGGCGCCUCAGCGGUGAGUACGGGAUGGGUGAAGGCGUCGAGUCCACCACG
rnacentral:misc_RNA from 1 species